CUACGGGACGCAGCAGUGGGGAAUAUUGCACAAUGGGCGCAAGCCUGAUGCAGCCAUGCCGCGUGUAUGAAGAAGGCCUUCGGGUUGUAAAGUACUUUCAGCGGGGAGGAAGGGAGUAAAGUUAAUACCUUUGCUCAUUGACGUUACCCGCAGAAGAAGCACCGGCUAACUCCGUGCCAGCAGCCGCGGUAAUACGGAGGGUGCAAGCGUUAAUCGGAAUUACUGGGCGUAAAGCGCACGCAGGCGGUUUGUUAAGUCAGAUGUGAAAUCCCCGGGCUCAACCUGGGAACUGCAUCUGAUACUGGCAAGCUUGAGCCUCGUAGAGGGGGGUAGAAUUCCAGGUGUAGCGGUGAAAUGCGUAGAGAUCUGGAGGAAUACCGGUGGCGAAGGCGGCCCCCUGGACGAAGACUGACGCUCAGGUGUGAAAGCGUGGGGAGCAAACAGGAUUAGAUACCCCUGUAGUC
rnacentral:rRNA from 1 species